rnacentral:tmRNA from 1 species
GGGGGUGCACCGGUUUCGACUGCUACGAUUCGGGGUGCGGGUUGCAGGUGGAGCGCUCAUCUCCUGAUUGGGCAAAAAUUUAACUGCCGACUUCGACAGUUACGAUUACGCCUUAGCUGCGUAACCGCGUGGAACCGUUCCGCCGCUCUGAGGGACGGCUUCCGCGUCGCAAUCAGGGCUGGUCAUGCCGCCGCUUCCGGAGACGGCCUGGCGAGAUUUUCCGGAAUACGGGCCGGCCGUACGCCGUUUUGCCAAGCUGACCCCGACAAUAUAAUAAACGGCUAAACCUGUAGAGGCCUGUAUUUCGCGUAUUAGGACGCGGGUUCGACUCCCGCCACCUCCAGCU